GGAUAGCUCAGUUGGUAGAGUAGGAGACUCUUAGCCUCAGGGUUGUGGGUUUGAGCCCCAUGUUGGGUA
rnacentral:tRNA from 1 species